GUCUAUGGCCAUGUCAUCCCGAACAAGACCGAUCCCGUUUGACCUCGGAAGCCAAGCAGGGUUGGGCCCGGUUAGUACUUGGAUGGGAGACCACCUAGGAAGGCCAGGUGCUGUAGGCA
rnacentral:rRNA from 1 species